AGGUCAAAAUUCUUAAACGCGGCGAACAAUUAGCUUUAUUGGCCUCAGUCAGUCGGAUCUGAGUCGGAACUAGCUCAGGAUCAGGUCCAAGCCGAUGAGUAGAUUGGAGAUCUAGCUCUUCAAUUUUCUCAACUUUAGCAGGUUGAGAAACCUUCUCUGACGUAGGUUUAGCUAGUUGUUCGCCGCGUUUAAGAAUUUUGACCU
rnacentral:misc_RNA from 1 species